CCUACGGGAGGCAGCAGUGAGGAAUAUUGGUCAAUGGAGGCAACUCUGAACCAGCCAUGCCGCGUGCAGGAUGACGGCCCUACGGGUUGUAAACUGCUUUUAUAUGGGAAGAAACCUUCUUACGUGUAGGAAGCUGACGGUACCAUAUGAAUAAGGAUCGGCUAACUCCGUGCCAGCAGCCGCGGUAAUA
rnacentral:rRNA from 1 species